UACGUAGGGGGCAAGCGUUGUCCGGAUUUAUUGGGCGUAAAGAGCGUGUAGGCGGCCAGACAAGUCUGCUGUGAAAACUCGAGGCUCAACCUCGAGCUGUCGGUGGAAACUGUCUGGCUAGAGUCCGGAAGAGGAGAGCGGAAUUCCUGGUGUAGCGGUGAAAUGCGCAGAUAUCAGGAGGAACACCUGUGGCGAAAGCGGCGCACUGGACCACAACUGACGCUGAGGCGCGAAAGCUAGGGGAGCAAACAGG
rnacentral:rRNA from 1 species